AUUGAACGCUGGCGGCAGGCCUAACACCUGCAAGUCGAGCGAGCGGCGGACGGGUGAGUAAUGUAUGGGGACUGCCCGAUAGAGGGGGAUAACUACUGGAAACGGUGGAUAAUACCGCAUACUAUCGGAUAACCCAUAUGGGAUUAGCUAGUAGCUGGGGUAAAGGCUCACCUAGGCGACGACGUCUAGCUGGUCUGAGAGGAUGAUCAGCCAACCGUGGACUGAGACACGGCCCAGACUCCGACGGAGGCAGCAGUGGGGAAUAUUGCACAAUGGGCGCAAGCCUGAUGCAGCCAUGCCGCGUGUAUGAAGAAGGCCUUAGGUUUGUAAAGUACUUUCAGCGGGGAGGCGUUACCCGCAGAAGAAGCACCGGCUAACUCCGUGCCAGCAGCCGCGGUAAUUC
rnacentral:rRNA from 1 species